GACGAACGCUGGCGGCGUGCCUAAUACAUGCAAGUCGAACGAGAGCGACCGGUGCUUGCACUGGUCAAUCUAGUGGCGAACGGGUGAGUAACACGUGGGUAACCUGCCCAUCAGAGGGGGAUAACAUUCGGAAACGGAUGCUAAAACCGCAUAGGUCUUCGAACCGCUUGGUUUGAAGAGGAAAAGAGGCGCAAGCUUCUGCUGAUGGAUGGACCCGCGGUGCAUUAGCUAGUUGGUGAGGUAACGGCUCACCAAGGCCGUGAUGCAUAGCCGACCUGAGAGGGUGAUCGGCCACAUUGGGACUGAGACACGGCCCAAACUCCUACGGGAGGCAGCAGUAGGGAAUCUUCCGCAAUGGACGCAAGUCUGACGGAGCAACGCCGCGUGAGUGAAGAAGGUUUUCGGAUCGUAAAACUCUGUUGUUAGAGAAGAACAAGUGCUAGAGUAACUGUUAGCGCCUUGACGGGAUCUAACCAGAAAGCCACGGCUAACUACGUG
rnacentral:rRNA from 1 species